GCGGAGGAAAAGAAACUAACAAGGAUUCCCCUAGUAGCGGCGAGCGAAGCGGGAAGAGCUCAAAUUUAUAAUCUGGCACCUUCGGUGUCCGAGUUGUAAUCUCUAGAAAUGUUUUCCGCGUUGGACCGCACACAAGUCUGUUGGAAUACAGCGGCAUAGUGGUGAGACCCCCGUAUAUGGUGCGGACGCCCAGCGCUUUGUGAUACAUUUUCGAAGAGUCGAGUUGUUUGGGAAUGCAGCUCAAAUUGGGUGGUAAAUUCCAUCUAAAGCUAAAUAUUGGCGAGAGACCGAUAGCGAACAAGUACCGUGAGGGAAAGAUGAAAAGCACUUUGGAAAGAGAGUUAACAGUACGUGAAAUUGUUGGAAGGGAAACGCUUGAAGUCAGACUUGCUUGCCGAGCAAUCGGUUUGCAGGCCAGCAUCAGUUUUCCGGGAUGGAUAAUGGUAGAGAGAAGGUAGCAGUUUCGGCUGUGUUAUAGCUCUCUGCUGGAUACAUCUUGGGGGACUGAGGAACGCAGUGUGCCUUUGGCGGGGGUUUCGACCUCUUCACACUUAGGAUGCUGGUGGAAUGGCUUUAAACGACCC
rnacentral:rRNA from 1 species